rnacentral:rRNA from 1 species
AGAGUUUGAUCCUGGCUCAGGAUGAACGCUAGCUACAGGCUUAACACAUGCAAGUCGAGGGGCAGCAUGUUGGUUGCUUGCAACCAAUGAUGGCGACCGGCGCACGGGUGAGUAACGCGUAUCCAACCUACCCUUGUCCAUCGGAUAACCCGUCGAAAGGCGGCCUAACACGAUAUGCGGUUCUCAGCAGGGCAUCUAACGAGAACGAAAUGUGAAGGAGAAGGAUGGGGAUGCGUCUGAUUAGCUUGUGGCGGGUAACGCCACAGGCGACGAUCAGUAGGGGUUCUGAGAGGAAGGUCCCCCCANAUUGGAACUGAGACACGGUCCAAACUCCUACGGGAGCA